UGGCCGGUAAUGCCUGGAGAAGUAACAGAAAUGGCACGAGUAUGGAGAGUCGACGCUGGUCGAUCUGAGGAACCGUUCCGACACCAGCAGGGCCAACGCGUCACCUCAGACCACCGUCCUGCCAGUUGUGAGAGUUCCUUCAAACUGUCAGAGAGAUUUCAACCUGUUGGCGUUUGACCCUGACGGAGACGAGGUUCGAUGCAGAUAUGGAAACACAUCGCUGUCAGAGUGUAGCCCCUGCACGCCAGCGUCUGUCCUCAGCCUCUCACCGUCGUGUACUCUGUCAUUCAACGCCACCCUCCGCAGUAAUGAAGGUCCGUACGCAGUCCAGCUGGUGAUGGAGGACUUUCCCAGACAGACGAUCUCCCUGAAUCAAAGCAACGGGGUGCAGACGACAAUAACUACAAACAACUCUAUGAGCAAAAUACCUGUCCAAUUUAUUCUACAGGGUAAGAUGUCUUGAUUUGACAGCCUGAAGUUAGAAAGAAAUUUCUUGCAACGUUGGCAACCACUUUGAAAUAUGUUGACAACCACUGGAUCCACGAUAACCAUGAUCCAGAGGAUGAACCCUAAUGACUUGUGAGCUUCACAUUAACGGUUUUGCUUAAAAUGUCUCAACAACUA